UAGUUCUCGAAUUAUUCUGACAUUUUGUCGUCUGCAUCUUCGUUUCCGCUUGCCUUGAACCACGUAAAUUAUAUGCAUUCAGAAAAAGAGGAGCAAGUGUUUACCUUCUACAUAUUGUGAUUUUAAUUAUUUGGACUUUGACAAUGCCAUUAUUUGCCAGGAAAAGCAGUGCCAAUAGUUUUGCUGGUGAUACCGGGUUCCAGACUGACUUUUCACAGCUUCAGAAUGCCCAGUUUACACAGUUUGAGCUGUCAAACUCACAAGGGCAGUCACAAGAUUUCUUCUCGCAGCCUGAAGACAUUCCUGCCAGACCUUCCACAGAGGGACAUCGCCAACAAUAUGAAAAGUAUAUAUCCAAGCCUGCGUUGUUUCGAGGUCAUGCUCGUAGCCAAAACAGUCAAAAUAACACAAUAUCUAUUCCUCAAACGGUCAAAUCUGUAGAUUUUAGCAACUCCAAUUCUCAGCAACAAUUAAGCAUCCAGAAAGCAAGAGCAAAAGAAAGGGAUGACAGAGAUAUGCUGAACAGCAUUGUUAACAUAGUGAAGGAAUGUUCAGAUGAGGUGAAGCAUAAUCUCAGCACUUUGAAGACAUCCGAAGACUUUAACAGCGAAUGCCUAAAAAAUUCAAUCAAAUCAUUGACAGAGAGGCUUGAAGAGUCUAGCACAAGAAUCCUGAAGGCCCUGCAGAAAGAUGAGAAGAACGAACACAUGGCUCAGAUCAACGCUCUCAAAAAGGAAAUUGAGAUGAAAGAUGAGCAUAUUCGAGAACUUAUUCAGCAGAAAGAUCAGCUGAACUCCUCAGCUAUGGAAAGCCUUUCUAGCUCUUUGGAAGCCGUUAAAGGUUUGUUCCUGCAACAACAAACACAGGCUGAAAAGAAACUUCAGAGAAUGUUGGACUUGAGUGAGGAACAUUUGCAGUCGGCAAAGGAGUUUGAGACUUGCCAGAGACAGGGCAACAAACACAUCCAGGAAGUGAAGUAUACCGCACAGAGACACGCCCAAGACUUGGACAAGCGGUUGGCUGAUGAACUCUUGAUGCUGCGAGACGACUUGGAGAGACAGAAACGAGACCUCGAAGGUUUUUUCCAAGCGCAAAUUCUAACCAUGCACCUAAAGCAUGAGCAACGAAUUUUAAAAGGGGUAGCAGACAGUUUGCAGCACCUGCCUGCAGUAAGUGUGGACUCAGUAGGACAGGCCUCUGUCCUAAGAGACAUCUGUAGGACUCAACAGAAAGAGCUAGAGAAGUACAUCAAGACUCAGUCGUCUGAACUGAACAGGCAUUUCCUUAAGGAAAACAAGGAACUAUUUCAAAGGCAGCAAAAGGACAUGAAAACUAAAAUAGAAUCCAAACUGGAAAUUUUGGACUCUAAUCAGAAGCAACUUUCCUCUGAAACAAAGACUUAUUUCGAAGAUAUCAAGCAAACAUUGGAGACCAAGGUGCUUCCCUGGCAGAACAAUGAUAUUGUUCCCAAGAAGAUUCAAGAGCAACUGAAUGAGCUUUAUGACAAACACCAGGCCGAGAUACAUAGACUGGAAUCUGAGAUGGAAAAACAAAGAAAACAGAGCCUUGAAGUGCGGACAAGAACAGUUAACAAGCCAGAAGAUGAAGGCAGUAUGCAGAAUGACGUGUUUAAACUUUCCAAUGUGUAUGAUUUCAAUGAAGCUGAUAUGGACUCCAACAGAAAAAACGUUGUAAGGUCAGGCACAAUAUUCAAUAAUAAAGGUCGAGGAUUUCUGUCGCCCCGCCCCCCACAAGGCAAGUGGAAUAGCCGCACGUUGUUUGGCAGAGCCAACCCAUCCCCAUCUCCAGUUGCCACUGUGUUUCCUCAAAGGCAGCUGCGUAAUGAAGGUGUUGAAAACGCUAGCACUUCUUUACAGCAAAUGCCCUUUGAAGACAGGGACAGAAUAAUGUCCUUACAGGCCUCUGUUAAUCCUUCAGCAAAUAAUGGAGGGGCAGCAGAUGACAGUCAUACAAACAGCUUGCUGUUAAGUACAUCUGCUGCUACUGUUACAAAGUCGAAACCUGGAAGGAAACGGGGUGGUAAAAGGAAGAAAAAAAAGCAAGAAAAGAAUGGUCCUCCACAAUCUAAAAUGAUGGAAGCAGCAAGGGCGACUGAGCAGGAACGCAACCAGUUGGUGAAAGUGAGCAGCAAACCUUUGGAUGUUUUUGCUUUCCAUGAUCCCACCUCACCUCCUCCUAGAGUAAUGAAGUCAAAUAGAGAAAGUUACAACGGCAAAAGUGAACGGGACUCUGAUAACUCAUGGACUUCUGCUUAUAAAGAUUCUGAUGGAGAUAGCAGUAUGAAUUCCUCACCGUCACUGUCUAUUACUGAAAUCUUCAUACGAAGGAAGGUCCACACUGACAAAGCCAGAGUUACAGAAGAUACAGGAGCAAUUGUUCCCCCUGCAAGCUUCACCAAUCUUGCAGAGAUGUGCAGUACCAGCCUGGAAGUCUCCAGCAUCUUGUCACAGGUAUGUGUAGUACCAGCCUGGAAGUUUCCAGCAUCUUGUCACAGGUAUGUGUAGUACCAGCCUGGAAGUCUCCAGCAUCGUGUCACAGGUAUGUGCAGUACCAGCCUGGAAGUCUCCAGCAUCUUGUCACAGGAAGGGAGACAGGUGCGUCGCUCAACAGAGAAGCGCAGACUUUGUGACUAUGAUGGCGACGUAUUCCAAAUAUUUCAAGCACAGAAACGUAGACGAUAUUAGCAACUGAACUUCCAACAGAAAUAUUUUACACUAUUAGUAAAUUAUUAAACUGUUUUAUUUUGUAAUUAGCAAACAUUUUUUCAUUUACUUACUGACCACUUUUCCAUAGUUCAUUUUGUUGAUUAUGUAAAAAUUGUUAAAAGUUUCAAUAAAUCUGUUAUGUUUCUCCUAAUCUCAUAUUGAAAUUGUUAUUUUGAUCUAAUUUUAUUCUUUUAAAAUUGUUAUGCAAACAAUGAUUAUUAUAAAAUAAUUUGAAAACA